rnacentral:rRNA from 1 species
GAUGAACGCUGGCGGCGUGCCUAACACAUGCAAGUCGAACGAACGGACGAGAAGCGUUCGUUCUUGAUGUUAGCGGCGGACGGGUGAGUGACACGUGGAUAACAUACCUAUUUGACUGGGAGAACAUCGGGGAAAAGGAGCUCAUACCGCAGGAUAUUUCGAACCGCAUGGUUCAAAAGUGAUAGACGGUCUUGCCGACUCAUAUAGAUGGAUCCGCGCUGCAUUAGCUAGUUGGUAAGGUAACGGCCUACCAAGGCAACGAUGCAUAGCCGACCUGAGAGGAUGAUCGGCCACACUGGAACUGAGACACGGUCCAGACUCCUACGGGAGGCAGCAGUGGGGAAUUUUCGGCAAUGGGCGAAAGCCUGACGGAGCAACGCCGCGUGGGUGAUGAAGGCCUUCGGAUCUUAAAACUCUGUUAUUGGGGAAGAACAUAUGUGUAAGAAAAUGUCCACGUCUUGACGGUACCCAAACAGAAAGCCACGGCUAACUACGUG